AACGCACAUUGCGCCCUUUGGCAUUCCGAAGGGCAUACCUAUUCGAGCGUCAUUAUCACCCCUCAAGCUCGGCUUGUUGUUGGACGUCGAUGGCCGUAUAUCGGUCACCCACCCCAAAGAUAAUGACGGCGUCUGUGAGGACUCCAGUACACUAAGCUUCUUCGGAGCACGUAUUAGCUAGAAGUCCAGACCCGGUCUUACCUAUUAUUUUUAUAAAGUUGACCUCGGAUCAGAUAGGGAUACCCGCUGAACUUAA
rnacentral:misc_RNA from 1 species